GACAGAGGGUGCAAACGUUGCUCGGAAUUACUGGGCGUAAAGCGCGUGUAGGCGGGCCGACAAGUCAGGGGUGAAAUCCUGGAGCUCAACUCCAGAACUGCCUUUGAUACUGGAGAGCUUGAGUCCGGAAGAGGUGAGUGGAACUCCGAGUGUAGAGGUGAAAUUCGUAGAUAUUCGGAAGAACACCAGUGGCGAAGGCGGCUCACUGGUCCGGUACUGACGCUGAGGUGCGAAAGCGUGGGGAGCAAACAGG
rnacentral:rRNA from 1 species